CAGAGUUCGUGCCCUCACGGGUAGAUCUCCCACCCUGUGUUAUUAUACCUUUGUUGCUUUGGCGGGCCGCCCUCGGCUACCGGCCCCGGCUGGUACGCGCCCGCCAGAGGACCCCAAACUCUGAUAAUUAUGUCGUCUGAGUACUAUUAUAAAUAGUUA
rnacentral:misc_RNA from 1 species